CAGGUCUUGACAUCCUCUGACAACUCUAGAGAUAGAGCGUUCCCCUUCGGGGGACAGAGUGACAGGUGGUGCAUGGUUGUCGUCAGCUCGUGUCGUGAGAUGUUGGGUUAAGUCCCGCAACGAGCGCAACCCUUGAUCUUAGUUGCCAGCAUUUAGUUGGGCACUCUAAGGUGACUGCCGGUGACAAACCGGAGGAAGGUGGGGAUGACGUCAAAUCAUCAUGCCCCUUAUGACCUGGGCUACACACGUGCUACAAUGGAUGGUACAAAGGGCUGCAAGACCGCGAGGUCAAGCCAAUCCCAUAAAACCAUUCUCAGUUCGGAUUGUAGGCUGCAACUCGCCUACAUGAAGCUGGAAUCGCUAGUAAUCGCGGAUCAGCAUGCCGCGGUGAAUACGUUCCCGGGCCUUGUACACACCGCCCGUCACACCACGAGAGUUUGUAACACCCGAAGUCGGUGGAGUAACCGUAAGGAGCUAGCCGCCUAAGGUGGGACAGAUGAUUGGGGUG
rnacentral:rRNA from 1 species